CAGAGGUUGCAGUGAGCCGAGUUCAUGCCAUUGUACUCCAGCCUGGGCAGCAAGAGUGAACCUCCAUCUCACAACAUUGAAAAAAACAAAAACAAAAGCCUCAUCACAACAGCCGCCGUGCAAUGGCCUGACAGAACGCUCUCCCAUCUGCUGUGAGCCUGACUGAGGGGCCGAUUGUUGAACUCCUGUAACUCAAAGCAUGCGUGUCAAAGUGGGAAUCUCAGGGCUAUGAGAUUGGAGGUGAGACCUAUAAUGGGCCAGUGGAAGGAAAAAGUUGAAAGGUGGUUCCUUCCGUUCCUCUUUCUCACUUGAAGGCUGGCAAGUGUGAGUGAUGCCUUUCUAGAGACCUCUGACUCCCCAGAGCCCAGGGAGAGUCUGACAACACCGAGGAAAGGGCAGAGUGAUCUCAUGUAACCCAGUGUGGCCUCACCUGGAGUAGGAGGGUGGGCGAGUUGCUCUCUGAAAUAACUUCUUGUGGAAUUUUUGUUUCUAAUGAUUGGCCAGUGGACACCGUCCAUGAGGGCAGCUGCAGUGAGGCAGACCUGCAGGUGGAGAAUGAUACUCUAGGAGGAUCUCUGGGAGCAGUUGGGUGACACCUGUUGCUUUGGAACCUAGGAACAGGGUCCCCCUGAGGACAGCCUGAGUUUAAAAUCUCUAACACCAAGUGAGAAACACAUUGAUGAUGUCCAGAUUUUACCAUCACUUGUCCAGGGUACGUACCUUGAACUAACUCACUUUCUGAGAAACAAGCUUGCUGGCUUUAAUACAUAGAAACCUUAAUCUGGGUUCCUGUUAAAAAUCUUGGGGGUGUGGUGAGAGAAAAUGAUUUUGCAAGUGUAUAACUAUGAGCAGAGGGGCUGUAGAAAUGUGUGUGAACCCAGAGGACCAACCAGGAGAUUGUUUGUGAGCCAGUGUGUCUUCACCUGGAGUAGGAGAAGUGAGUGCACUUCUCACUGACUUAUCCUGAUGUUGGUGGCUCUAAAGAGUGGAUUCUGGAGAAUCUCAGCACCGAAGAGGAUACCUUUCCAGGUAGGCAACAGGACUUCAGAUGGGAUCUAAUAAAACAACAUUUCCAGGAACCUUCAUGUUAUACCUGCUGCUUGGGAGGCUGAGGGAGGCUGUAGAAAGAGAAAAAGGAAAAGUAAAUAUAAGCCGCGUUUGUUAUUUUCAGAGUUUAAUGUCAUCAUGGUGAGAAGUACUAUGUUUAUGGACUUUUGAGUAUCCUGUGUUUUCGAUCACCUCUUCUUGCUUUAUUAUUUAAAGAUGACUUUUCUGAGAACAACUGCUCUUUUCUGUCUGUGCCACUGUAAAAUCUCAGAGCCUUUGGUUUGGGAUGCAGUUCUGUCACAGGCAGUUACUUAAUCUUGGAUAUAAAAUUCUUCUGCGGUGUGCCCGGAUGCUUAGGAGAAAUGGAUCCUCACCUUAUGAACUGUUAGGUUUCAUGGCAGCACAUUCAUUUGUCUGUCCUUGCUGUUUUACCUCUGGUAUCAAGACAUCUCCCUGGGCGUGGAGGACAGAAUGAAAAUUCACUCUGGGUUCACUGCAGAAGCUCCAAUGUCUUGGAAAUGGAGGGAGAAGCACAACCGUGAGCACACUGUCAGCGUUCCAUUUCUUCAUUUGAAUGAGAAUGUGCAGUUUUACCGUCAUUUGUGGAAGAGACUUUCCUUUCCCCAUUGGGUAUUCUUGGCACCUCUGUUGAAGAUCAGCUGACUCUGUAUGUGUGCAUUUAAUUCUGGUCUCUCGAUUCUAUAUCUGUGAUACUUAUGGGUGCCCCCAUGCUAGAAGCAUGCUGUCUCAGUUUCUCUGUUUUUUAUAGAUUUCAAUCUCAUGAAUGUGUUUCCUCCAACACUAUUCUUUUUCAAUGUUACCAUGGUUAUUUGAGGCAUAUAAAAAUUCCUUAAAGUCUUAGGAUUAAUGUUUCCAUUUCUGCACAGAUGUCUGUUGCCAGUUUGAUAGCAGUUGUUGUGAGUCUGUAGAUCAUGUGUGUAGUAUUGUGUGUUAGUCAAGUUUACUCUUCCUAUCCAUGAAUACAGGAAGCCUUUCAACUUAUUUGUAUGAUCUUUACUUGAGUCUUUUGACAGCUGAUUAGCUAGAUUUAACAUGACUGAGAUAGAUUUGUGUUUUCUUUCUUUUUUUUUUUGAGAUGGAGUCACUCUGUCACCAUACUGGGGUGCAGUGAUGUGAUCUCCGCACACUGCCACCUCUGCCUCCCAGAUUCGAGUGAUUCUCCUGCCUUAUCCUCCCAAGUAGCUGGGACAACAGGUUCUUCUGAGGACAAUCUGAAUUUAAUACGCCUACCGCCAAGUGAAAUUGGUGAUUGGGAAAAUGAUGAUAAUGAGGAGGAUGAUGAGGAUGUUGAUACCAUCCAGAUUUUCCCAUUGCCUGACCAAGGGGAAUAGCCCAGCAUCAACUCAGUUCAUGCUUGUCAACCACCUCCAUACACCACAUCCAGCAAAGCUCCCUGAGUGACUCAGAGUCCUCUGAGUCCUUCCAGCUUGGCCUGAGGAUGGCCUGGUUUUAAGAGGCUCACCACAAUGCAAAGAUGAAGAAGAAAAAGAAGACGAUGAUGAUAAUAAUGAUGCCCACGGAACAGCUUGGAAAGAAAAUGACUUGACGCUGGAGAGUAUAAGUGACAAGAAGACUCAUCCAGUUAGGGAGCUAUGUGCCAGGAAAAACCCAAUGGGAAAAGGUUCCCAGGAGCCUCCAGGGUGAAGCCCUUCUAGGAGCUGACCAGGGUGCUGACUCAAAGGGAAGGCCAGCACGUGCUGCAGGGACAUCUGAGGGAGACUCAAGCUCUGCAGUCAGGCAUUUUGCCUGGCUUGGCGUAAAGAAGUGAUGGAGACUUUCCUGUGAUUCCUAGGCUCCCCUCCUGGACAGCACCAGGAAUGGGCCUUCGAGGUGGCUGGGCUUCAGGCCAGCCUGGCGGCGUGCUUGGGUGACUUGGGAGAAUGUAGCUGUUUGCUGGGAAGAUCUUAAGGAGGAAACCAGAACCUCUCUCUGUCCCAAGCUCUCAUCCCUGGGGGAGCCUGUUAGGACAGAGUUCAUUCCUCAGUCAAAAGAAAGUGCAUCUGGUUUCACAUUUUACCUUCCUUCCUGCCACCCAGAGUGGGAGCAGGCAAACCUGGCUGAGGAGAGCCACACCCCAUGGGUCAAUCACUGGAGCUUCUGAAACCUGGGUGGUGCCUGGUACAGCUGGGUUCCUUCCUUCCCCCAGCCCAAGUUCCUGCCCCCAGCUUUGUCCCUGGAGGUCUCAAUCCUGCUCUGUACAUUCUGAGGGGAACUCUUGGCCCCAGCAGAGAGCAAAACUCCAAGGGCACCUCCCAUACACCCCCCAGCGCUGGGUUCGGCCUGUACCAUCCGGGACCUGGUGCUUCUGGGCCUGGAAUUUUGCCUUUGGCAAGAGAGUGAGAAGAGACGUGACUGCUCCAGGAACGGAAAGUGCCAUUCCGACUUGAAAUAAAGAGACUGAGCGCAUUGA